GCCCACGCGACACGCCGAAUUUGAUACCUUACCUGCCGGGUGAUGGUUAAAGAGGAAAUGAGACACUGACUUGGGGAGUAUUCCGUGGUGAAGACAAGGUCAUUCACCAGCAUCAUGAGCCCGUCAAUACACAUGUCCAUGUCCAUGUGCCGGAAGUGCAGAAUGCUACGGCGGAAGUGAAGGAUGCUUUGGACGCAGAGGGAGAAUAUUAAAGCUGUCCGCUGACCCGAGCAGUUCGCAACAAGA